rnacentral:miRNA from 1 species
AACUAUUUGGUUGAUGCAAAAGUAAUUGUGGUUUUCAUCAUUACUUUCAAUGGCAAAAACUGCAAUUACUUUUGCACCAAUCUAAUA